rnacentral:rRNA from 1 species
AUUGAACGCUGGCGGCAGGCCUAACACAUGCAAGUCGAGCGAGCGGCGGACGGGUGAGUAAUGUAUGGGAAACUGCCCGAUGGAGGGGGAUAACUACUGGAAACGGUAGCUAAUACCGCAUACCAUCGGAUGUGCCCAGAUGGGAUUAGCUGGUAGGUGGGGUAACGGCUCACCUAGUCGACGAUCCCUAGCUGGUCUGAGAGGAUGAGCAGCCACACUGGAACUGAGACACGGCCCAGACUCCUACGGGAGGCAGCAGUGGGGAAUAUUGUACAAUGGGCGCAAGCCUGAUGCAGCCAUGCCGCGUGUAUGAAGAAGGCCUGCGGGUUGUAAAGUACUUUCAGCGGGGAGGCGUUACCCGAAGAAGAAGCACCGGCUAACUCCGUGCCAGCAGCCGCGGUAAUAC